rnacentral:lncRNA from 1 species
CUGGUGGCCAGCUGACAGUGGGAAAAGCGACUUUCUGAUGAAAUAACAGGAUAAACAUUGACCACGGUCCACUCUGCCAGCACUGCCCACGCAGUGUUGGGAAAUGUCUUCUCCCGUGAUGGGGAGGCCAGUGAGAACCAGAUCAGUCAAACCCAGAGGCAAGUCUCCCCAUUUGAACUUCAAAAUCUAAGGGUCCAGCCGGCAUUCACCAUGCGGUGUCUCUGCUUCGUGCUCCUGACCUGCUUCAUCCUCUUUCCUCACUUUGGCCCAGCCUCCACCCAGCGCAUAGACUCAGAAGAGGAGUGCGAGCGGGUUGGUGCCCAGUGUAAAUGGUUUGCUUGCCCAGAAGAUCAUGAACGUCUUGGUUCCUGUUGGUUUGGGAUAAAGAAAUGCUGUCUGCGUGGAUGGUGGGCUGAAGGACAUGGGUGGACAAGGAGCCCAGAGAUUUAAAUAAAGGGCUGACUAUAACUCUGAAAGUGCUGUGAUAUUAUUUCCUGAAAAUAAAGAAACAACCCAUGCUGCAUUUAAGAAAGUGA